GGGGAUUUAGCUCAGUGGCAUAAGUGCCUGCCUUGCAAGCAGGCAGUCAUGACUUUGAUCCCCA
rnacentral:tRNA from 1 species